rnacentral:misc_RNA from 1 species
GUUGCGCCCCGGCUUGAGUGGAACUCUUUUUUUAAAAAAUUUUAAAGCAUUGUGAUUGUAAAUUUUUUAAAAAAAAGUGGGAACGGAAGACGGAUAAAGGC